AGCAGUCGCCGCGGUAAUACGUAGGGUGCGAGCGUUAAUCGGAAUUACUGGGCGUAAAGCGAGCGCAGACGGUUAUUUAAGCAGGAUGUGAAAUCCCCGGGCUUAACCUGGGAACUGCGUUCUGAACUGGAUAGCUAGAGUGUGUCAGAGGGGGGUAGAAUUCCACGUGUAGCAGUGAAAUGCGUAGAGAUGUGGAGGAAUACCGAUGGCGAAGGCAGCCCCCUGGGAUAACACUGACGUUCAUGCUCGAAAGCGUGGGUAGCAAACAGGAUUAGAUACCCCAGUAGUCCCUGUCUCUUAUAC
rnacentral:rRNA from 1 species